CUCUGUUGGUGUGUGGGCUCGUCGGUGUAAGCUCACAACCUCAACUCUCCCAAGUGUUCACUCUCCAGAAUUGUCAACCCCCUCCCCCGUUGGGCCAGGGGAGGUAUUUAUAGCCUUCACUUGUUGUUAUUGGGCCUCGUGGGCUUGUACGGUCAGCCCCGUUCGUCCACUCGUCCGCCCGCCCGUCCGUCCGCCUGGGCCGUCCGGUCCGGUUCGGUCCAUGGGCCGCGGUCCGCGGUCCAUGGUACCAACAA
rnacentral:lncRNA from 1 species